CCCACCUUUUUCCUCUUUUCCCUUGGCCCUGCCCCUCCUCUCAUUCUGCAGCCAGGGCCCGUCCUACAGUCCAGACGGAACCCGGGCGGGCUUGGGACUGGGUCUUGGCUCUCCAGGGGGAGCUUGGUUUGCUAUGGCGCCCUGUACCACAGUGAUCAGGGCCCAGCAGCUGCUGCUGGUACUGAGUGCUCUAGGACUCUCGGCCGCAGGUGCUCCGCAGCCCCCCAACAUUGUGCUACUGCUCAUGGACGAUAUGGGGUGGGGUGACCUGGGUGUGAAUGGAGAACCUUCCAGAGAGACCCCAAAUUUAGACCGGAUGGCUGCAGAAGGGAUGCUUUUCCCAAGCUUCUAUUCUGCCAACCCUUUGUGCUCACCAUCUAGGGCAGCCCUGCUCACAGGACGGCUGCCCAUUCGCAAUGGCUUCUACACAACCAAUGCGCAUGCAAGGAAUGCUUACACACCUCAGGAGAUUGUGGGCGGGAUCCCUGACUCAGAACACCUCCUGCCGGAGCUCCUGAAGAAAGCAGGCUAUACCAGCAAGAUCGUGGGCAAGUGGCAUCUGGGUCACAGACCCCAGUUCCACCCCCUGAAGCAUGGAUUCGAUGAGUGGUUUGGAUCCCCCAACUGUCACUUCGGACCGUAUGACAACAAGGUGAAGCCCAACAUCCCUGUGUACAGGGACUGGGAGAUGGUCGGCAGAUUUUAUGAAGAGUUCCCAAUUAACCUGAAGACCGGGGAAGCUAACCUCACCCAACUCUACUUACAAGAAGCUCUGGACUUCAUCCGGACACAACAUGCAAGGCAGAGUCCCUUCUUCCUCUACUGGGCUAUCGACGCCACGCAUGCACCGGUGUAUGCCUCAAAACAGUUCUUGGGUACCAGCCUUCGAGGGCGGUAUGGCGAUGCUGUUCGGGAAAUAGAUGACAGUGUUGGAAAGAUCCUGAGCCUUCUGCAGAACUUGGGCAUCAGUAAGAACACAUUUGUCUUCUUCACAUCUGAUAACGGUGCAGCCCUCAUUUCUGCUCCCAAAGAAGGUGGCAGCAACGGUCCCUUCCUGUGUGGGAAGCAGACUACAUUUGAAGGCGGGAUGAGGGAGCCUGCGAUCGCAUGGUGGCCAGGGCACAUUGCUGCAGGCCAGGUCAGCCACCAGCUGGGAAGCACCAUGGAUCUCUUCACCACCAGCCUGUCCCUUGCAGGCCUGAAGCCCCCCAGCGACAGGAUGAUUGAUGGGCUUGACCUCCUCCCCACCAUGCUCCAGGGCCAGAUGAUGGACAGGCCCAUAUUUUAUUACCGUGGCAGCGCACUGAUGGCAGUCACUGUUGGCCAGCACAAAGCGCACCUCUGGACUUGGACCAACUCCUGGGAGGAGUUCAGACAGGGCAUUGACUUCUGCCCCGGGCAGAAUGUUUCAGGAGUCACAACCCACACCCAGGAAGAACACACGGAGUUACCCCUGAUCUUCCACCUGGGACGUGACCCAGGCGAGAGAUUCCCACUCAGCUUCGCCAGUGAUGAAUACCAGGACGCCCUCAGCAGGACCACCCAGGUUGUGGAGCAGCACCAAGAGUCCUUGGUCCCUGGACAGCCCCAGCUCAAUGUGUGUGACCAGGCUGUCAUGAAUUGGGCACCCCCAGGCUGUGAAAAACUAGGAAAGUGUCUGACACCUCCUGAGUCUGUCCCUGAGAAGUGUUUCUGGGCCCAUUAGCCAAGACCAGAAUCUCCAGCCAGCCCUCCAAGUGCCUGGAAGGCCUUAGCCUUGGGAAUGAUGGAUGGAAGAGACCCGCUGCCCUCUGCCCACCCAUUCCUGGACGGAUGGCCCCUGCAACCAAUAGCAAGGCUCCAAGACUGCCCAUCCUGGAGCCCCUGACCCUGGAGUCCACUCUUUAGCAAUGCAGCCCAUCUUGCCAACUGACUCCUGAAAAAGAAGCGGCUCACCUACCCCAGGUGGCCUUGGUCACCCACCAUCCGUGCUCCAGCCCAGGGUCUGACGCUGUCACUGUGCCUCCUCACUGUCCCUGCAUACAUUUCAACCUUGGUGUGUCGGAGACAAAAGUGAAGAUUUCAGGGAGAUGCCAAGGGCUGUCUGAUUGGAGCAUGGAGGAGGGGGCCUCCAUCGCCAUCUGCCUGGCCAUCAGUCUUCAUCCCCAGGCCAACCCCCUGAGCCGCCCUACCUCUUCCCCACUAAGCAAAAGACAAAGGUAGCACAUUUUCCAGUCAAGGUGACAUCUGCCACUGCCCCAUGGAGAUAGGAAGAUGGUAUCCUAAAUUUCUGGUUCAGGCUCAGUGCAGUACGGGGCCACCUGUUCUGUGCUCCACACAAUCUCCAAGAUCCUUUCUCUGAAGGCUCAUGGGAGUUGCCCAUCAUGAACAAGCUCUCACAUCUGUGCAGUAAUUGUGACGCCAAAGCUGAAUUGUAAGGUUGGACAAUGAAGAGACUGAGAGCAAGAGUAAAGGAACAGAGACCUCAGAUGGAAGAAUUGCAGCUCACAGGGACGCUCCAGGAAGGAAUGGUUGGAAUCCACUGGACCUGCCCCACACCCUCUCCUUUGAUGAAGGAUGGGCCAGUCUGGAGGCUGUCUUCUGAGUAAUUAUAACUGCACUGAAGAUGAUGAUGGCCAUUAUACUCAGAGGACAGUCUUCCACACCAUUACCU